rnacentral:rRNA from 1 species
UACGAAGGGGGCUAGCGUUGCUCGGAAUCACUGGGCGUAAAGGGCGCGUAGGCGGAUCUUUAAGUCGGGGGUGAAAGCCUGUGGCUCAACCACAGAAUUGCCUUCGAUACUGGCGAUCUCGAGACCGGAAGAGGUGAGUGGAACUGCGAGUGUAGAGGUGAAAUUCGUAGAUAUUCGCAAGAACACCAGUGGCGAAGGCGGCUCACUGGUCCGGUUCUGACGCUGAGGCGCGAAAGCGUGGGGAGCAAACAGG